rnacentral:rRNA from 1 species
AAUCGAGGCCCCGUAAUUGGAAUGAGUACACUUUAAAUCCUUUAACGAGGAUCAAUUGGAGGGCAAGUCUGGUGCCAGCAGCCGCGGUAAUUCCAGCUCCAAUAGCGUAUAUUAAAGUUGUUGCAGUUAAAAAGCUCGUAGUUGGAUCUCAGGAUUUGGAUGGAUGGUUCGCUUUCGGGCGCUACUAUCUGUCUGACCUACUCUAGUCGUGGAUGCCUUGGGUGCUCUUAAUUGAGUGCUUUUGGUGCCCGACGCAAUUACUUUGAAAAAAUUAGAGUGCUCAAAGCAGGCGUAUUGCCUGAAUAGUGUUGCAUGGAAUAAUGAGAUAGGAGUUUACUUCUAUUUUGUUGGUUUUCGGAGGUGAACUAAUGAUUAACAGGGACAGACGGGGGCAUUUGUAUGGAGGGGUUAGAGGUGAAAUUCUUGGAUCCUCUCCAGACAAACUACUGCGAAAGCAUUUGCCAGGAAUGUUUUCACUAAUCAAGAACGAAAGUCAGAGGUUCGAAGACGAUCAGAUACCGUCCUAGUUCUGACCAUAAAUGAUGCCAUCUAACAAUCCACGAAGUUUGCUUGUACGAACUCGUGGGCGGUCCCCGGGAAACCAAAGAUUUUGGGUUCCGGGGGAAGUAUGGUUGCAAAGCUGAAACUUAAAGGAAUUGACGGAAGGGCACCACCAGGAGUGGAGCCUGCGGCUUAAUUUGACCCAACACGGGAAACCUCACCCGGCCCGGACACUUUUAGGAUUGACAGAUUGAAGGCUCUUUCUUGAUCAAGUGGUUGGUGGUGCAUGGCCGUUCUUAGUUGGUGGAGCGAUUUGUCUGGUUAAUUCCGAUAACGAACGAGACUCUACUCUGCUAAAUAGAACGUUGAUAUAUAAAAGUCAGUGCUGACUUCUUAGAGAGACUAACGGCGUUUAGCCGUGUGAGAAAGAGCAAUAACAGGUCUGUGAUGCCCUUAGAUGUCCGGGGCCGCACGCGCGCUACACUGACUGCAGCAACUAGUAUGCUUCUGGUUUGAAAAAACUGGGUAACCUGGUUGAAUUGCAGGCGUGACAGGGAUCAGAGUUUGCAAUUAUCCUCUGUGAACGAGGAAUUCCCAGUAAGCGCAAGUCAUUAGCUUGUGCUGAUUACGUCCCUGCCCUUUGUACACACCGCCCGUCGCUACUACCGAUUGAAUGGUUUAGUGAGGUCUUCGGAUUGGUGCUGAUGGAGUGGUUCUCUGCUCUGUUAGUGCCGAGAAGAUGAUCAAACUUGAUCAUUUAGAGGAAGUAAAAGUCGUAACAAGGU